UUUCUGUGAAUUACCUGUUCGUGUUCUUUAUUCAUUUUUCUAAAGGGCAUUGAUCUUUUUCUGUACUGAUUCACGAGGACUUAAGCCUGUAUCUAUGAUGCAGUUGUUUUCCCAGUCUUUGGAGCUGGCAGAUGCCAUUACCCAGGUCAGGAGAUAGAACCUUGCAAGCUAUACCUUGAAGCUGUUCAAGUCUUUCUCCCAGUUACAGUCUUCAUAAGAGUUGUUAGAAGGACUGAAUGAGAUGAAGUGGAGCAAAGUCUUCUAGGACAGGGGUCCUCAACCCUUGGGCUGCAGACUGGUGGCAGGAGGGCUGCACAGCAGAGAUGGAGUCUCGUCAUGUGGCCCAGACUGGUCUUGAACUCCUGGGCUCAAGUGAUCUGCCCACCUUGGUCUCCAAAGUGCCGGGAUUACAGCAGUUUUCACGGAUUUGUGGCCAGAUGCUAAAGACAAAGGCUGAGAAGUUAUCCAGGACGUCAUAUUCUUGCUUUGCUGGAGACAGAUCUGAAGGAUGUCAUCUGUCCUGUGACUUCUUCUAGUAUGGGGUCCCGAAGCCUGGCCUCCCCAGCCGAUGUGCUGCUUUAGUCAGCGUCUGCCCUGGUCCUUCAGUUCGCAGGCUCACAUGCUUUUUUGGGUUGUGUCUCUUUGGACUGCAGAGGCUACGUGUCCUGUGACCAACCACGGAGGCGGCCACUCCCCCUCUCCUCAGGAGUGUCUUAAAAUACCUCCAUUUUAGCUACCCUAUUGAAUGACAGGUUAGCUGGGUGCUGCGUUUUCAGGUGAUGGACAUUUUCCCUCAGUCCUCUGAAGGCGUUGCUGGCUCCAGGCAUUGAUGCCGCCACUCUGAUUGUUGUACGCAGUGAGCAAACUAGAAUUUUCUCCUGGCUUUUUAGAUUUUCUUCUUUAUAUUCUGAAACUUUAUUAUAUCAAGGUUUGGAUUUUAUUUUUUUUGGAGACGGUCCUACUCUGUCAUCUAGGCUGGAGUGCAAUGGUGCAGUCCUGCUCACUGCAGCCUCCAAGUCCAGGGCUCAAGUGAUCCUUCCGUGAUCCUUCUGCCUCAGCCUCCUAAGUAGGUGGGAUCACAGAUGUGCACCACUCUGCCUGGCUAACAAGGCUUGUUUUUUGUUUGUUUGUUUUAAAUAAAUUCAGACUGUUUUGCCCCUUGAUGAGUUUUUCAUUCUGCAUAGUCCUGUCAUUUUUUCAGUUCUGGAAAAUUCUUAGUCAUGAUUUCUGCAACUGUUUCCUCUCAUUCUGUUUUUUCCUUCUGGAACUCUUUCUCUCAUUACCUUUUUGUAAUCAUCUCUAUUUCCCUAUACCGCAUUUUUUAACGGUUUCUUCUGUUCUAUUUUUACAAAUUCUAUCUUCACAUGGAUUUAGUCUACUUUUUACUUUUAUUCAUUAACUUAAAAAUAUAUUUAACUCCAUUUUCACUAAUGAGGGUAUAUGUGCAUUUAGUUUUUACUUUUAAAGAGGCAGGGUCUUGCUCUGCUGUUCAGGCUGGUAUUGAACUCCUGGGGCUCAAGCAGUCCAAGGAGCUGAGACUACAGGCAUGCGCUACCACACCCAGCUUGCAUUUUGUUUUUUUUACAUAUUUGCUUGCUCCUUCUGAAUACCCUCUUUGGUCUUGUUUCAUGGGUAACAUUCCUGCCUCUGUCAUGAAUGGGGUGUCCUGUUUUUCGGGUCUGCUGGCAAUGGAUGUUGCCCUGUACCCUUCGUCUGAGAGCUUUCUGUUGUGAGGGCUCUUAUAGUCGAGUUGCCACAUGCUUGCCUGAGCCUAGUUCUCCUCCUGCUGCUGCUCUGUCAACUUGAACAUUUGAUGAGUCUGAGGUUUUCUCUUUACCCUGGUACCAUAGGUUCACACAUAACAGAGACCUGACUCCUGAUUUAUGCCUGUCUUCUGCUUGCUCCAGGGGUUGGGAGCAGGCAGCCUGUCGUGGCUGCCACUCGAGUAAAGCAGACCUGUUGUGACCACAGUUUACUGGCAAAAGAACAGGUCCCAGGCCUCUGCAUCACAAGAUGCCUCGCUCUGGCUGCCCACAGGGGUGCUGAGCCCCUGCUCCUGCGUGGGCACUGAGGCCCCAGCCUGCAGUGCACAUUUCUUUCUCAUCCUCCGCUUCCUCUGGGCCCCAAGGAUGCAGCCCUGCUUACCACAGAGGCUUCGUUUCCACUUUUGAUCCAUAGGGGUUUUUUUUAAGUGUAACUAUACAUUUUUUUAAAGUUUUUUUUCUAUUAACACUACAGGUCAAGAGUGGAGAGAGGUUUUGGGAUUACUAUGCAAUUGUAGAAAUAUCUCAAGGUCAUUAACUAGAUGGUCAUUUAAAUAAACAACAAUCCUUAGCUAAGAAGAACUGACCUUGUUACUUGCUGACCUACUUAUUCUGUUACAUACUGUAACUUUAAAUGGGUUUCUGAUCUAUUUGCAAGUAUAAUUACAUAUCGAUAUUGUUCAUACAAUUAUACUGUUAUUAGUACAAUUAUGAGUUGUUAAUCUAAGAUUUUGAAAAACUGCCCAAGACCAAAACAUGAAUUAUGCAAGUUGAUGAAGAGAUAUAUAUUUACCAAGCAUUUCAAUAAUAUCUACUCCCCAUCUUUUUUUUCCCACACAGGCUAUGCUUGGACUGUAUUCCUUUCUUGCAGUCUAGCAUUUACAAGUCUAGUAUUUUAAGUCAAUGAGAUCUUGGCCAGUAUUAAGUACUCCUGACUGGCAAGUCUAGUGGUGUUAUUUAGUGUGGUGUGUUCACAUCAGAGAGACAGGGGCCCGGAGUAAGGAACUGCUGCAGUACAGGGGUCAGGGACAGACGCUCUGGGGCCAGACUGCCUGGGCUGGAGCCUGGUUCUGCCACUUACAGCUGUGUGACCCUAUGUGCCUCAGUUUCUCCUUUUGUAAAAUGGUUAUCCCCAUUUUACAUGACACCCACCCGAUAGAGUUGCCACGUGGAUGGCAUGAGUUAAUACAUGUCCAUACAGAAUAAACCUUGUAUGUCACAAAGCAUUAAAAACAGUUUAGAUUUUUUGAUUUCUAAAUGGAAGGCAUUUUUUUCAUUGAGACAUCCAUGGAAAAAUGACAGGUGAGAGAAGGCUGACUGAGUUGUCUAGGACAUUACCUUUGUACACUCUUUUAAUGACCAAGGGCCCAUCUCCUGUCACAGAUGAUUUUCCCCCAUCCAGACUCAGUCCCAGCCCAGCCGAGGUCUUCAGCACUUCAACACACAGAGCGUCGUGUACAGCCACACUUCUCCCUGCAGCGGCAGCGUGCACCAAGAUAAAAAUGACAGGGUUGUUCAUCAUGCUGCCUGUCCAAGUCCCCCAGGAUGCAUUGCCUCCAGCCCCAUGUACUUCUGGCACACUCAAGUCCCAUGUACUUCUGGCACACUCAAGUCCCAUCUACCCUGGGGUACUUAUAACAGCACUUGAGCCCAGUAGCACUGUUGGCCUCCCAACUCUGGGGCUGCCCUCCUGGCUGUGUUGCUGCUGUACUUGUAUCCUUUGUUCUGUGUUUUCUGCAAGCAUUGGCAAAUGCUUUUAUGCCCAAGCAGAAAUCCCCAGAAAGCAAAGUGCUCUUGUUAAGCCCCCCACACCGGCUGUGCACUUCUCAGUGAGGACUGAAGUCACACUUGGGAACUCCAAAUUUGAUUUUCUGCCAACCCUGGCUGCUAAUGGCAGCAGAACAUCACUCUCUGGUACCAAGACUUGGCAGCACCAAAAUGCCCAGCCUCAUGUGAGACUGUUAGAAUGGACUCCAAAGCCCCCAGGAACCCAGAGAGCUUCCUGCCUCCCAGCUCCUGCCACUCCUGCUCCUGCAAAGGGAAACCCUGCCCCUGACUAUGGCUGUCUUCACAGACACACUCGCUGCCUCCACUGGCAUCUUGCUCCACUGUGAGGAGAUGGUUUCCAUGGUGAUGCCAGCUCUGUGUGCUGGUUUCGGGAAGGUGGGCUGGGUUUGAAUCAGGAUUGUAAACUUGCCUUGUACUUCCCUCCCUUGCCUGCCUAUCAGCCAAGGACGUCAGAGUUGACUGCAAAGGCACACUUAGUUAAUUGGGAGGCAGAGGAAGGACCACAGAUGGAUUAAACUGCCUGCUUCCUGUGUUCACUGUGUUCACUAGGGCUGAAGCCAAGCUAGUAUUGUCUCCUUUGGACAUAAAGGCCAGUCCAUUGUCGUGGUUUAAAGAAGGCCACUCCACAGGGUCUGAAGGACAUUUACUAACACUGGAGGGAGCAUGAUUUUUCAACAGGAAAAUGGGUGUAUUGCAGUGGCUCGAGUCUGGCUGCAUACUGGAAUCACCUGGGAAUGUGAAACGGUGUCUGGCCCCCACUGCGACAUUUCUGAUUUAAUUGAGCUGGGAAUUUCCUGGGCAUCAGGAUUUUAAAAGCGUCCCAUCGUCUCUACUGUGCAGCUUACUGCACCGGGCCCCCAGUUGGACGCUGUCAAUGUAUGGUAUAGGACCAGGUAGACCUGGGUUAGGGAGACUAAAGAACAGGAAACUGAGCGAGGUUAAGCCCUCCAAGCGCUCAGCAUUUGAUUGCUCUGCAGGGUCUGCUUCAAGACCAGAGGCCCUGAAGUUGCUGCAGGAAUACUGAGUGAUUAUAAAUGACAGAAGGACCAUCCAGAUCUGAGUUCACGAGGCUUAAAAACUGGCAGCUGUGAGGAUGAAGUGGUUUCCUUUGACAGUUUACAAGGAUCCCACUGAAAAUCCACCAAGUGGUCGAGACAGUUCUGGGGCAAAGGCAAGCAUGACAAGAUCUAAUGACCAAGGUGUUUCCCUGUAUUGGGGAGGGCCUCAGCCCUCUGGAAGAGGCAAAGUGAAAUGACACAGAAGGAAGACUGGGGACAUGACCACGGAGGCAUCUGGACAAGAAGUGUUUCUCAUUUGUUAAAUGGAAUCGGAGCCAUUUUCAGCAAGGACUACAAACAGCUCAGGCUACAAGAAAGCCAAGUUGUAGAAAGGAAUCCAGCUACCCUUAUCAGGGAGAGAUGUGGAGAAGGAACAAAAGGCCCCUCCCAGAAGGCAGUGCCUAACCCAUACCUUCUGCUUUGCCCUCUCGAAUAAAAAAAGACGUCACCCCUGAAUGCCAACAUGAACGGCACUCCAGACGUCUGCAGUAUUUAACAGGGCAUUAAACAGCCCACACUGCAGAAACAGACGCUGCAUGUGGUUCUGAGGCUCUGAAUAUGGACGGCACAUAGAAAAUCUGUUUCUAAACCUCUUCCAGUGAGUUCGUGGUUGACUAAGGCUGCAGUUUCUGUUUUCAGACACAAAACACUCUUGCCCCCUCAUUUUCUUCUGUUCUUCUAAAACAGGAAAGAAUACAACCUUGCUGUUUCCCAAGGAUAAAUCUUAGUUCUGGAAUUUCUCCUUCAACACAGUGUGCCCCAUCACAUAGUUUCCUGUUUUCCUUACCAGUCCUAACAAGAGGGUGUGAAUAUAAAAGAGAUUCCUUUUUAGGACACUUAGGGAAACUGUUAUGCAGUCGUUUUAAA